UAGAAACUCUUGCACAUUAAGUAUAGGCCUCGAUUUGGCAACGGCUAGACCCACCUGUCCGCUGGACGACCUCGACCGGGCUUGGCAAACAACCAAUUGCCAAACAAAGGAGAAGAAAAACAACUUAUCUCUGUACUCUGGAAACGGGCCAUUUCUUGCAGUACAGAAACAUCUUGAAUAAACACAUCUUCCCAGUGUCACCUGGCCAGUCGCCCGGGAACUUGCGCAAUUGGCAAAAUGCCUUCUUAGUUUGCAAAGGAUUUAUUAAGGCUCGUACGUUGGAGCUAACUCGGAAUCUCACCCAUGGAGAGAAUGCUCUGCCUGGGACCUUCCCAUUCGGGACCCUGAAAGCUGAAAUCCGGGAUUCCCCAGCAUGAAACUUCAGGAGUUGGUGUUUCCCCCGAAUUGAUGCCCAUGCUGCUGUGAACACCCUGGAACGUGAGUAUAAUGCUUAUGCGGAUGGUCUUGCCCGGAUAGCUACCAUCCCUCAAGAGUCAGUACUGCCACGGGACGACGAAAAAAGUUUUGCAAAACGGGUACACCUCAAGGCAGGACAUUUAGGUCCACAAGCCACUCAAAGUCCUCCGUCGAACGAUGGAAAGUGAACUGGGUCAUCCCUUUUGGAAUCAGCUUGAUGGGAGUCGGUCUGGCCUGGACUCCAGGAACACAAUUAGCCCUUGGUACCGAAAUGAUCCGACUGGGAUGGGUCAAUGCCAAGGCAACCAGAACUCAAGACAACUUUACGUGUAUUACAAAUCAACCUUGUUAUAUACUGAAUAUUACUUUCAGUACGAACGUUACAUAUUGAAGGGGAUACUCCCGAUUGUAUGGCCGACAUUUUGUGAAAGGACUAAAGUACAACAUGACUGUGCAAACUGAGGACUCCAUAAAUGUUACAUGCUGUAUGUAUAACGACUCUAUAAUACUACCUUCUCCUUCUCUCCGAAACGAUAUCUUGGCUUUAAAAGAGGAAUGUAGCAUGAGUAACGGUAACAGCACCAUUACCCGAUACCAGGGCUCUAACUUUACUAUUAGUGUGGAUCGUGACGCCACACUGUUUUGUUUUAACACCACCACCAUAACUAAGAGGACUUGGUGGGCAGACUACGUUAGGUUAUUGACCGAUAUUACCCCCAUUUCACAAGAAUUAAUUAUCGUUCGAGUACCUGGAAGUUGUCAGAAUGUGACGUUUAACACCCAGGAAAACUUGCUAAAUUUUAACAUAACUUUUCCCUCCUGGAAACCUUGUAACAGGCGGAGGAGAUCAUGGUUUGAUACUCUCCUUGGUGGGGGGGGCAGGAACAGGUUUGGGUAUAGUAAAUUCAGUAGACCUUGAGACCCUGGCCAACAGACUGCGCAGUGCUGGCCACGAUGUCUCUUAGGCUCUCACAAUAAAUGCUCAAUGGUUACCCACAACGAUCUGCCCCACCAACGUACCUUAAACUUCCAAGGACAAUUUCUACAGUUGUUUAAUGCUUCAACGUUAGCUUCUCUCAACAUAGACACUAAUUUUUCUAAGCUAUUUAAUUGGACAAAGUGUUCAUUGGAGAAUAUCUAUAGCUUGAUACAAAAAGAACGGAUUCAAAGAAUGUUAUCGGCUGGAACCCCGGACAUUUGGAGACAAAUUCUUUCUCGUUACAUUCCUCGAGAUAACUGGAUAUCCAAUAGAAUUGUGACGCAAUGCACUGAGGACAUCUGUACGGGGACAAUUACUCACUUUAAGGUUAGCUCUGCUAUGAUCAUGUGUAAUUAUCAUGUCAUUCCUUUUGUCCUGUCUUCGUAUUUCGUUUUGCCCCAGUUGAAUGGUGAAUAUAUAGACCAAUGUAACAAUACUCAUAUAUUGCGGGAAUGUACCUCUUGCCUCUAAGGGAUGGUAUAUGGAAUGGCCACACGACAGAUGGAACCCUGUUUGUUAAACCAUUCCUCUAAUUUAUGUACCUUAACUCUCUAUCCACAAACUAACUUCUCUAUGUUAUAUGAGGUAUCCCCUCAGCAUAUAUGCAUUACCUCUAGUAAUAGUACUGAUUUGGAAUCUGUCGGGAAGGCUUCCCCUUUCUCCGGUUGCCUACGAAAUAUUAGUUUUCUUCACUGGCAGGGUGAUGAUUUUUACAUUGCCCCUGUACAGGUGAAUGAUAUAAACCUCACUUGGAUCCCGAAACCCCUCCCGUUACCCAAUACCUAUGUAUCUAUCGAACCCCUAGUGGCCAUCCUGAAUGCGUCAAAGUUACUAAGCCAAUUGCUUAUUAAAAAUCAAAGAGCUCUUAAUGAACAUCGCAUACAAACUCAUAUAGUUGCUGGAAAACUGAUAGACGCAUCUCAUGUAAUAGGAACAGAUACAGAUCGUCAUUGGUACGAUUUCUUCUUUAAAUCAGUGACUGCGCAAAAAUAUUUUAAUGCUCUGGUUACCCCUUGGCUAAUAUUUGCCUGCAUUUUCAUGAUUUUAUGUUUAUGCAAUUGUUAUAUGUUUUGUAGGAUAAAAAUGUUGUAUACUAACUUUACUCCCAAGUUAUUAACGGCCUAUACUGCUAAUGUGCCUGAUUUUGAGGUCGAAUGAUGGGUAAAUUUAGAAACUCUUGCACAUUAAGUAUAGGCCUCGAUUUGGCAACGGCUAGACCCACCUGUCCGCUGGGCGACCUCGACCGGGCUUGGCAAACAACCAAUUGCAAAACAAAGGAGAAGAAA